UGGCAUCACGAGACGGCAUUCGUUUUGUGUAUUAAAGCUGAGGUGUCUUAGAGAUGAGUGUGCGUCUGUAUAGCUAGUUGGUGCGGUAACGGCGCACAGGCGACGAUCAGUAGGGGGCGUGAGAGCGUGGACCCCCACACGGGUACUGAGACACGGACCCGACUCCUACGGGAGGCAGCAGUAAGGAAUAUUGGUCAAUGGAGGAAACUCUGAACCAGCCAUCCCGCGUGCAGGAAGAAUGCCCUAUGGGUUGUAAACUGCUUUUAUCUGGGAAGAAAAGUCGGGAUUUAUCCUGAUCUGACGGUACCAGAGGAAUAAGCACCGGCUAACUCCGUG
rnacentral:rRNA from 1 species